rnacentral:tRNA from 1 species
GCGCCCGUAGCUCAGGUGGACAGAGCAUCGGCCUUCUAAGCCGAGGGUCGGGGGUUCGAAUCCCUCCGGGCGCGCCA